rnacentral:rRNA from 1 species
CCUACGGGCGGCAGCAGUGGGGAAUAUUGGACAAUGGGCGAAAGCCUGAUCCAGCCAUGCCGCGUGUGUGAAGAAGGCCUUCGGGUUGUAAAGCACUUUCAGUGGGGAAGAAAGCCUUGGGGCUAAUACCCUCGAGGAAGGACAUCACCCACAGAAGAAGCACCGGCUAACUCCGUGCCAGCAGCCGCGGUAAUACGGAGGGUGCGAGCGUUAAUCGGAAUUACUGGGCGUAAAGCGCGCGUAGGCGGUCUGAUAAGCCGGUUGUGAAAGCCCCGGGCUCAACCUGGGAACGGCAUCCGGAACUGUCAGGCUAGAGUGCAGGAGAGGAAGGUAGAAUUCCCGGUGUAGCGGUGAAAUGCGUAGAGAUCGGGAGGAAUACCAGUGGCGAAGGCGGCCUUCUGGACUGACACUGACGCUGAGGUGCGAAAGCGUGGGUAGCAAACAGGAUUAGAUCCCCGAGUAGUC